GGCUCACGGACGGCCCGAGCUUUCCCUCCCCACUACUUGGUGCGCUGCAGUCGGUCACUUACACGCAUACGGGUCCCUGUAAAUGAUAUGCACGCACACAAUCGAUUCUCGCUGGCGCGCGGCGUUCCGCGAUUUCAACUCAUUGCCAGAAUCAGAGCAAUCGAGCAACUCACAAGGGGAGGUUGAGAACUCGUCGUCAUCGAUUUCGGCCUAAUUCACAGUAUAUGUUGGGCUCGACUAGAACUUAAAGUGAGCCAAGUAAAAAGACGAGAUGGCCAAGCGUUUUGCAGAUAUUAUUGUUUAAACAUUUUAUGUGUAGUACACAAGCUUUUUAAGAUUACGUGUGGAACAAAUAAUGGUCAGCGCAGCGGCAAGCGUUCGGAUUCAUAGCAUGAGGCUCGUGGGUUCGAUUCCGUUAUCCACUCUGUUCCAGGCACAGAAUCAAUUUUACUGUCUGCCAUUUUCGAAAGAUUUGAUUCUCGCUGGCGCACGGUGUUCCGAUUUUGAUCUUACGCGUCGAUCGAGAAACUGGCAAUUGUGUAGCUUGCGGGGUUGC